UACGUAGGGUGCGAGCGUUGUCCGGAAUUAUUGGGCGUAAAGAGCUCGUAGGCGGUGUGUCGCGUCGGCCGUGAAAACCUGCAGCUUAACUGUGGGCGUGCGGUCAAUACGGGCAUCACUGGAGUUCGGCAGGGAGACUGGAAUUCCUGGUGUAGCGGUGAAAUGCGCAGAUAUCAGGAGGAACACCGGUGGCGAAGGCGGGUCUCUGGGCCGAUACUGACGCUGAGGAGCGAAAGCGUGGGAGCGAACAGG
rnacentral:rRNA from 1 species